UACAGAGGUCUCACGCGUUGUUCGGAUUCAUUGGGCGUAAAGGGUGCGUCGGCGGCGCGGUAAGUCUGGUGUGAAAUCUCGGAGCUUAACUCCGAAACUGCAUUCGAUACUGCCGUGCUUGAGGACUGGAGAGGAGACUGGAAUUUACGGUGUAGCGGUGAAAUGCGUAGAUAUCGUAAGGAAGACCAGUGGCGAAGGCGGGUCUCUGGACAGUUCCUGACGCUGAGGCACGAAGGUCAGGGGAGCAAACAGG
rnacentral:rRNA from 1 species